GGCAAACGGGUGCGUAACACGUACGCAACCUUCCCGUUACUGUGGCAUAGCCCAGGAAACUUGGAUUAAUACCACAUAUUAUAUAGAGGGGGCAUCUCCUUUAUAUCAAAGCUUCGGCGGUAACGGAUGGGCGUGCGGUUGAUUAGGUAGUUGGCGGGGUAACGGCCCACCAAGCCUACGAUCAAUAGCUGAUGUGAGAGCAUGAUCAGCCACACGGGCACUGAGACACGGGCCCGACUCCUACGGGAGGCAGCAGUAAGGAAUAUUGGGCAAUGGACGAAAGUCUGACCCAGCCAUGCCGCGUGAAGGAUUAAGGUCCUCUGGAUUGUAAACUUCUUUUCUCUGGGGCGAAAACCAGCUAUUCUUAGCUAUUUGACAGUACCAGAGGAAUAAGCACCGGCUAACUCCGUGCCAGCCGCCGCGG
rnacentral:rRNA from 1 species